rnacentral:lncRNA from 1 species
CAAAAGUGAUUAUUUUCAAGUCAAAUUUUCAUUGAAAUUAUGUAGCACCUAUGAACAAAACUAUCUUCAUAAUACAACAAAAUCUAACAACAUUUUCAUAUAGCCAAAAUCCCAUUAUUACUUUUUCCAUAUACUAAUGUUGAUGUGCUCAACAAUUCCUCUUUCCAUUUUUUGUUAACUUUCUCAAUAAACUCUUCCACUCUUUUUCUCAACUCAUCAUCAUUGUUUUCAAUUUCAACAUCAUCAUUGUUUUCAAUUUCAAUCUCAACUUCUUCUUCUUCCUCCUCUUCUUUAGCUUCAACAUCGAUGACGACGCGCGGAACUUCUUUCUCUUGUGUCAAUGAUUCUAUAUUCUUGGAAUUGAUUUCUUGCUUUUGAGUUUCACUUUCACAUAUUGAAAGAUGAAUUUCACUCUUUUGAUGAACAUUUAGACUUGGCUUCAAAUCCAAUAAAAUAAUGACUAUGAUCAAAUUACAAAAGCAAAAAAUGAAUGUUGAGCUAGAAGCAGCUUGAGUAAUCAACUCCAAUAUAGAAUCCAACAUGAUUGUG